GAGAAAAGUUAAGAAACACAGAAACUGCUAAUUAUCUGACCCUGCGGUUAAAAUCCUCAGUUUUCUCAA
rnacentral:tRNA from 1 species